GACGAACGCUGGCGGCGUGCUUAACACAUGCAAGUCGAACGGAAAGGCCCCUUUGGGGGUACUCGAGUGGCGAACGGGUGAGUAACACGUGAGUAACCUGCCCUUGACUUCGGGAUAACUUCAGGAAACUGGGGCUAAUACCGGAUAGGAAUCCUUGCUGCAUGGUGGGGGUUGGAAAGCUUCGGCGGUUUUGGAUGGACUCACGGCUUAUCAGCUUGUUGGUGGGGUAGUGGCUUACCAAGGCUUUGACGGGUAGCCGGCCUGAGAGGGCGACCGGCCACAUUGGGACUGAGAUACGGCCCAGACUCCUACGGGAGGCAGCAGUGGGGAAUAUUGCACAAUGGGCGGAAGCCUGAUGCAGCAACGCCGCGGGCGGGAUGACGGCCUUCGGGUUGUAAACCGCUUUCAGCAGGGGCGAAGCUUGUGGUGACGGUACCUGCAGAAGAAGCACCGGCUAACUACGUG
rnacentral:rRNA from 1 species